rnacentral:rRNA from 1 species
AGUGAACGCUGGCGGCAUGCCUAAUACAUGCAAGUCGAGCGAACAGACAGUGAGCUUUCUCCUCUAACGUUGGCGAGUGACGGACGAGUAACACAUAGAUCACCUACCUAUAUUUCUUGGGGAAUUUCGUGGAGCAGCAUCUGCUACCACAUAAUAUGUUCUACCGGUGAAUUCAGUGGAUCAUCAGACUUUUCCUGUCUCUUUUAGCUGAUGUCGGAUUAGCUAGUUGGCGAGGUAAAGGACCACCAAGGCGACGAUGCGUAGCUGGUCUGAGAGGAUGAUCAGCCACACUGGAACUGAGACACGGUCCAGACUCCUACGGGAGGCAGCAGUGGGGAAUAUUCGACAAUGGGCGCAAGCCUGAUCCAGCCACACCGCGUGGGUGAAGAAGGCCUUCGGGUUGUAAAGCCCUUUUAUUGGGGAAGAAAAACAGUAGAAGAAAACCCCGCUGUUCUGACGGUACCCAAAGAAUAAGCACCGGCUAACUUCGUG